rnacentral:rRNA from 1 species
AGCGAACGCUGGCGGCAUGCCUAACACAUGCAAGUCGCACGGGGGGGCUUCGGCCUCCCAGUGGCGGACGGGUGAGGAACGCGUAGGGACCUGUCGAGGGGUGGGGGAUAACCGCGGGAAACUGCGGCUAAUACCGCAUGACGCCGCGGCGUGACAGCCGGGGCCAAAGGCGAAAGCCGCCCGCCGAGGGGCCUGCGUCCGAUUAGCUGGUCGGCGGGGUGGCGGCCCACCAAGGCGUCGAUCGGUAGCUGGUCUGAGAGGGUGAUCAGCCACACCGGGACUGAGACACGGCCCGGACUCCUACGGGAGGCAGCAGUGGGGAAUAUUGGACAAUGGGCGCAAGCCUGAUCCAGCAAUGCCGCGUGGGUGAAGAAGGUCUUCGGAUUGUAAAGCCCUUUCGGCGGGGACGAUGGUGACGGUACCCGCAGAAGAAGCCCCGGCUAACUUCGUG